rnacentral:rRNA from 1 species
GACGAACGCUGGCGGCGUGCUUAACACAUGCAAGUCGAACGGAAAGGCCCUGCUUUUGUGGGGUGCUCGAGUGGCGAACGGGUGAGUAACACGUGAGUAACCUGCCCUUGACUUUGGGAUAACUUCAGGAAACUGGGGCUAAUACCGGAUAGGAGCUCCUGCUGCAUGGUGGGGGUUGGAAAGUUUGGGCGGUUGGGGAUGGACUCGCGGCUUAUCAGCUUGUUGGUGGGGUAGUGGCUUACCAAGGCUUUGACGGGUAGCCGGCCUGAGAGGGUGACCGGCCACAUUGGGACUGAGAUACGACCCAGACUCCUACGGGAGGCAGCAGUGGGGAAUAUUGCACAAUGGGCGGAAGCCUGAUGCAGCAACGCCGCGUGCGGGAUGACGGCCUUCGGGUUGUAAACCGCUUUCGCCUGUGACGAAGCGUGAGUGACGGUAAUGGGUAAAGAAGCACCGGCUAACUACGUG